rnacentral:rRNA from 1 species
UACGAAGGGGGCUAGCGUUGCUCGGAAUCACUGGGCGUAAAGGGUGCGUAGGCGGGCCUUUAAGUCAGGGGUGAAAUCCUGGAGCUCAACUCCAGAACUGCCUUUGAUACUGAGGAUCUUGAGUUCGGGAGAGGUGAGUGGAACUGCGAGUGUAGAGGUGAAAUUCGUAGAUAUUCGCAAGAACACCAGUGGCGAAGGCGGCUCACUGGCCCGAUACUGACGCUGAGGCACGAAAGCGUGGGGAGCGAUCCGG